UUUCACAAAGCCAGUUACAUCUCUCUCUUUGACUCUUACGAUCUCUCUAAUUACGGUUGUCUACAAUGGCAUUGAUUUCAUCAAGAUUUAAUUGCCGUCGACGCCAGUAAAACUCAUGUUCAUCAUCCAAGGCUUUUUCUACUGCACCAGUCUCGCUUGUGUACACUCGUAGUGUCAAGAGAAAUGGACGAGCCAUCUAAGGUUUCAUCACAACACGAGGAGGAAGUCAUUAAGAAGAAGUACGGAGGUAUCGUGCCAAAAAAGCCACCACUUAUUUCUAAGCAAGGUGUAGAGAAGCCUAAAGGACCUCUUGAGGCACUUCGGCCUAAACUGCAACCAACUCAACAGCAAACGCGAUAUAGGAAAUCACCUUGUGCGCCAGCAAAUGGAGAAGAAUGUUGGAGUUGGUGGUAUAGAGAUUGGACCAGAAUGGUGUGAGGUAAACGUUCAAGUACCAAUAAAAAAAAGAUGAAAACGUGGUAAGACCACAUGGUUUAUUUUCUACAAUUCAAGAUUGUAUUGGUGCAUCCAUCGCGCCCUAUCCAUUCAUCUCGGUAGUCCAUGAGGAUUGUGGACGCAUGAUGACUCAAGAUUUUAUGCUUCUUAUUUCUUUAAUUGCUUUUAAUUUCUUUGUUAAAUGUUAAGACAUUAUGUUAGAUAAUUUUAUAACUUAUUUAUGGUUAGUGCUUUUGUUAUGAACAUGCUUAUUUGAAAUAUAAUGAAGUUUUAUU
rnacentral:lncRNA from 1 species